rnacentral:rRNA from 1 species
UUGAACGCUGGCGGCAUGCUUUACACAUGCAAGUCGAACGGUAACAGGCCUUCGGGUGCUGACGAGUGGCGAACGGGUGAGUAAUGCAUCGGAACGUACCCAGAGGUGGGGGAUAACGCAGCGAAAGCUGUGCUAAUACCGCAUGUGAUCUGAGGAUGAAAGCGGGGGACCGAGCAGCAAUGUUUGGCCUCGCGCCUUUGGAGCGGCCGAUGUCGGAUUAGCUAGUUGGUGGGGUAAAGGCCUACCAAGGCGACGAUCCGUAGCUGGUCUGAGAGGACGACCAGCCACACUGGGACUGAGACACGGCCCAGACUCCUACGGGAGGCAGCAGUGGGGAAUUUUGAACAAUGGGCGCAAGCCUGAUCCAGCAAUGCCGCGUGCGGGAAGAAGGCCUUCGGGUUGUAAACCGCUUUUGGCAGGAACGAAACGGUGUCCGCUAAUACCGGGCGCUAAUGACGGUACCUGCAGAAUAAGCACCGGCUAACUACGUG